AACGAACGCUGGCGGCAGGCUUAACACAUGCAAGUCGAACGGUUGUAGCAAUACAGCAGUGGCAGACGGGUGAGUAACACGUGGGAACCUUCCUAGGGGUACGGAACAACUCAGGGAAACUUGAGCUAAUACCGUAUACGUCCGUAAGGAGAAAGAUUUAUCGCCCUUAGACGGGCCCGCGUCGGAUUAGGUAGUUGGUGGGGUAACGGCCUACCAAGCCAACGAUCCGUAGCUGAUCUGAGAGGAUGAUCAGCCACACUGGGACUGAGACACGGCCCAGACUCCUACGGGAGGCAGCAGUGGGGAAUCUUGGACAAUGGGCGCAAGCCUGAUCCAGCCAUGCCGCGUGUGUGAAGAAGGCCUUAGGGUUGUAAAGCUCUUUUGGCAGGGACGAUAAUGACGGUACCUGCAGAAUAAGCCCCGGCAAACUUCGUGCCAGCAGCCGCCGUAAAAC
rnacentral:rRNA from 1 species